GGCUUUUUGGUGAGCAAAGGGAUCAGGUCAGUUUUCUCUCCCCCUCCGGCUGUAGGCUGGGUGGGGGAGGGGAAAAGGCCACGAGGUGGCGUGAGGUAGGCCGGAGGCCUUGGACCUUGGAGAGAGAGAGAGACCGGGGAGGGGAAGUGAAAGGAUGGAGGGGUGGAAGUAGUGAGGAGCACCGGGCAAUUCCCCCCCCCACCGCCCCGCUUCCUAGUGAGAGAGAGAGAAAGGAGAGAAAAGAGAUAAGACGCGCCUCGCAGCUCCUGGGAAGUCGGCCAAAAGUGAGAAGGGAGAGUCCGUCACCUAGAGAUGAUUUUAACUUUUUUCCUUCACGAUGGAAACCUUCCAAACGUUGAUCCUCCCGGAGGACAGAGAUAAGAACAAGAAGAAAUGGACAAGUGAAAUGAGAGCCCCAUGACCAAAGAAGAAGUUGAGAUUCUUCUGUUCUGCUUUUCAAGACAGUCUCUACUCUAAACCAAUCCAGAAGUGUCACCAUCACAGCAGAAGAUGGAGGACAAGAAGGAGAAGGAGAAGAAGAAGAAGGAGGAGAAGGAGGAGGAGAAGGAGGAGGAGAAGGAGAAGGAGAAGGAGAAGGAGAAGGAGAAGGAGAAGGAGAAGGAGAAGGAGAAGGAGAAGGAGAAGGAGAAGGAGAAGGAGAAGGAGAAGGAGAAGGAGAAGGAGAAGGAGAGAACACACCCAGAUUCUGCCAUCUUGCCUCUUGAACCCCCAUUCUAAUUCCCCAAAAUUCUACAUUUCCACCCUGUGACAAAUUCACUGUCAUUCUACUCAAACCCUUGUGGCCUGUAAAUCUUCACACAAAGUUGGGAAUUGUUUCCAUGGGCUAAAAUCAAAGGCACAGGUGUCUUUGACUCUGUGCAAAGUCUCUGAGCCUCCUGCCAGGGUCUGGAGUCACCCAGGGCAGCCAGAGGAAUGUCCUGGGUCCCAACACUCCCUGUCCCCAGGGUGUGCUGGGCUCACAGCUGCAGCUCCCUGCACUUCUCCCUGCAGCAGAGCAGCCCCUGAGGUGUGCUGGGCUCAUAGCUGCAGCUCCCUGCACCUUUCCCUGCAGCAGAGCAGCCCUGGCUGGGCUGUCCUGGGCGUGGGGGAUGAGGCACAGCUGAGGCAGCUGGGCUCUGCUGCAGCCCAUGGCUCAGAGAGGAGGGGCUGCUGCUGCUGGGGCAGGUGUGGGGGUCUCUGUGAAGGCCCUGUGCCUGCCCUGGGGCAGGGAAGCACUCUCAGGGAGCAGGGAGGCUCAAGGAGAGCAGGAUCAGUGCCAAGUGUCUGAUUCUAGCUCUUCUUAAUGGCUGCUCUUCAAGUCUCAGUCCUUAGGCAUCAUUUUUGUCAAUGGAUUUAUUCAAUAUCAGGGUGAAUUAAGAAUAGAGGUUGGCAGGAAAAGCCCAGCUGUGAGCUGAAGGGGAGGAAUGAGGGCCAUGAGGUCCUGUGGGGUUUUUAUAAUCUUCACUUUGAGGAAGAUCUCCCGAGUUGGAACUGCCAUUAAUUGUACCUGAGGGAUGUGAAGGCUGGAGGACUCAGGUGAGAAUGGCCUUGCUGUGAGAAACAAGCCCUGUCCUAGGGAUUCCUGCCAGGUAAACCAGCCAGCAAGGGGCAGGGACACCUGCUGAGCACACAGAGAGCCUGAACUCCCAACACACAGAUCCUUCACCUGGAUCCCUGGGUAUGACCCAGUCAUGAAUCCACCCAACAGUGAUCUGAGCACGAAAAGAAAAGUUCUUCUGGUUUAUUUCCAUCCUGUCCCUAACACAGAGGUCCUGCAGUGUCUAAAAGCUGGAGGACACUUCUUCCAAUUAAAUUAAACAAUUAAAUUGUUUGCUCCUUGUUCUUGUCCCAGUGACAUCCACAGGAAGCCCCAGCUCAUGACAAGUGAGAUAAAACAUCCACCAGUGCAGGAGCAUUAAUGGGGAGCUGGCAGUGUGGUGCCAAAUGUAUUUCUGCCAGAAUUUACUGUCAGAAAAUGCCCACUUAUUGUGGAAUUGUUAAAUCAACUGUCAGGAACAGUCCCUAAGGAUGGUUAUUGCAAGUCCUCCACAGUUCCCACUGGCAGGGAUUUCCAUCAGCAGCCCCAGUAUUUGCCACAUCUCUUUUAUUCCCACCUGAAGUCUCAGAUUGAAUGGCAAUGUGAUGUGCACUGUUGCAGCAGAAGACAAGUUUUAUUUGUGAACAAGUUUGUGCAAAAUGUCCAGAACAACUCAUUCUGCUGCUUUUAUGGGAUUCUGCCCACAAACAAUAGGGAAGAUUUGCAGGCAUUGCUUUGCCAGACAACUGGAAUUUAUAAAUCAGAACGGAUGGGCCACGGUGUGC